rnacentral:lncRNA from 1 species
AUUCUUUUCUGUUUUUCUCCUGAUUGUUGCUUACUCUUUCAAAAAUCAGCUGACUGUACAAGUCCUCUCUGGGAGCAGACUUUAGAGCAAAAGUGAUCUAUAAAAGCAGCAUGAAGUUCGAGGACCUUCAGAAAUCAAUCCAUGGGCUCCACAAGCACUGUAUCAAGAGGCAUUCGAGACCAGUCUGGGCUAGAGGUGGACAUGAGAGAAAGAUCCCAUAGCCCUCUUGGUCUUGGUUGGAACAGGAGGAAAAUGAAAACUGGACAUCCAUCUUAGGACUUAAUCCUACGGAGACCACAAGCUGGAAGAGGCACUCAAUACUAGCAUGGCUUCUGUGGCAUUUUGAUGAGUAGUAUGGGCUCCACACUGAAAUAUUAAUAUCUUAUUGUUUUGAUGAUGAUGAUGAUGUUCAUUGGCCCAGGGCAAAAGGUAAAGGUUGUGUUAUAAAGCUGAUCUAUUCAAUAUCUGUGGAUGUUAACUCCACCCCAUCCCCUUAUUGAACAAUUACGAUGCCUAUAAAUAUUGUAUUGAGAAA